rnacentral:tRNA from 1 species
CAGUAAAUAGUUUAUUUAAAAUAUUAAUUUUGGAGAUUAAAGAUAAGUUAUUCUUUUUACUGAAGUUUUAAAGGUAAAUUCCUAUUUAU